rnacentral:lncRNA from 12 species
CCCCCCCCCCCCCCCCCCCCCCCCCCCCCCCCCCCCCCCCCCCCCCCCCCCCCCCCCCCCCCCCCCCCCCCAGCGCCGCUCCCGACGCGGCAGGACUGGCUCGGCGGGCGGGGAGGGCCGGGCCGGGCCGGGCCGGGCCGCAGCACCGCGCUGGGCCCGGGCGGGGCGGGGGGAGCGCUGGGACCGCCCCCACCUGAGCCGCCACCUUCCUCCCUCCCUCCUCAUCCUCCCUCCUCCGCCUCCCUCCUCCGCCCCGCUUCCCUCGCCCGGAGCCCUCGCCCCGUGCAAAGCGCGGCCCGGGCCGUGUGGGCGCCCUGUCAGGGGCAGCGCUCGGCUGGAAGCGCCCCGCGCAGUCGGAGGUGAGAAGAUUGAAACAGAGAGAAAAGAAAAAUGUUUCCAAGGUCUUCUGGAAAGCAAGCUGCUGGAGGAAAAACCAAUCAGUUCAGAGGUCUGGGCCAGUUCUCUGUUCAAGUGCUUUACUGCCUCCUUUGCUUGCAAUGGUUCCUGUUUCCCAGGAAAACAAACAUCUCCACUACAGCUUCCAAGUAGAAUGUGCUUCACAUGAAAUUUGGGAGAAAUGAGCUGCAAUGCAAUACAGAUGGGACUGAUUAAUCUUACAUGCAGAGCAAGAAUUCUCGUACAUUAUUCUGCAUAAGCUUUAAUAUUUCUUUGACUUAUGUGGAUUGGAAAGACCCCAUGUUGACAGGUGAGAUGUUCUUGGUGUGCUUGCAUGGUCCUCCUCUCUGCAGCAUCCAGAAUUUUAAUCAGCCAGGUGCUGAAGACACGACAUGCUGUUGAUUUGGAUGGGAAUUAAAUGUCUAACCAGGCAUUAGUCAGAGCCUCUGCACUUGAGUGGGCAUGUUUUCAUUCAUCCAGGAAGCAGCACAGCCUCCUGAGACUUGGCUUCCAGACAAAGGGAGUUCAGACAGAAAUUGGAGCUUCUGGUUGCAUUUUGAACUCUGCCUGCCCCCAGUGUUCUCUCCCCUUGAACAAGCUGCAUCUCACUCAGCUGGCUGAACAGUGGCUGCAGUUGCCUUUGACUCGUGUGACUUUAAACAGGACAUUGCUAGAAGACUUGAACAAAUAAACUGGACUCCAUGAAAUAAUCAGAUUUAACAGUCCCUGUUGUAUACACUCCUGGAAACUUGUUAAUUCAUUAAGUAACAAAGCAAUUCUCAUUCUGAGUGAAAAAAAC